rnacentral:lncRNA from 1 species
CUCUCUAACCUAAAAAACCUCUCGCCUCUCUCUUACAUAUCUAGGGUUUUCAACCGCCUCCACUGAUUCCGGCGGUCGCCGCCGCUCUUCUCAGGCGACCGCCGGGUCUUGCUCUUCUAGUUUCUCUUCUGUUGUAGUCUCUUCCCCCGUUCCCUUCUGCGGUUUCCCGGUGGUCGUCUUCGAUUUAUCUGGUUCAGAUCCGGUAGUUCAGAGGCUUCUGAGUCAUGGUUUGAGAGGUUUCAGCGCUUGAGGACGGCGUGAUGUGCAUCUCCGACUCUGUCCUCUUUGAAUCUGAGCUUUCCUGGCCGGAAAUUUUCUCUGUCGAAGUCGCUAUCCGGUUUCGAGUGGUGGAGCGUGGAGGUUGUGGAGAGCCCGAGCCUGCUUUGUUGUGCUCCUCCGUCUUGGUGGCGCAGCGGUGGUGUACCGGACUCGGGCUAGGGUGGGCUUUGUGAUGUCGCGGAUCUGAAGUUCCCUCCUCCCUCUUCUGCUAGUGGUCUCUAGUGGGUGCGUGUGAGCUCUCUGGGGGUCGGUCUUCCCUCUACCCGUGAGCUUGUGUGGCAACGCGCGUUGGUCGUGGUGGCGCGUGGUGGUAGCGCGUGCAGAGCUGAGCUUCUAGUUUCUCUACUCUUCACAGAGUGGAAGCUCCGGUGUUUCUGGUUUGUCUCUUCACUACGUCCUGGUGCCUCUCGUUCUAUUCCUCUCCAAUAAGGUAUGCGUUGUUGAUCUUGGCUCAAAUGGUGGUUCGAGCCUUGCUAUUUUGUCCGUGCAGCAGUUGGACUCUCGAAUGGCUCCUUCUCUUGCGGUGUGGUUUUCGGAGAGUUAGCCUCUUGCGGUCCGCUCUCUCUAUAUGUGAUUGAGGUUCAAUGGGUGUAUACGGUCACGGAGGGUGGGGCUAGAGACGGCAAUCUUCUUGUCUCCCUUUCGAACGACGGCAUCGUCGCUGGGGGUUCUCUCUCGUGCCGUCGGAGAUCAUUGCUGUCGAGUGUUUUGAGUUGGUUCGUGGUUGGAUUCUCUGUCCGGUUCAGGUUUGGGAAUGGCGGUUGGAAGCUGUAGGAGCCGUUGCAACAAGGUUUGAGGGCGCCUUUCUCUCGGUAGCUCGCGGUGCCCGAUUCCCUUCCCCGAUCGCUUCCGGUUCUUUGGUCUGACUCUGUUUCGUUGCUUGCUGGGUAUUGUGCCGGUUAGGCCAUUGUUAGGAGUUGAGGUCUUUAUCGUUGUAGGUUGUGUUUAGUUUAUUUACUGCAUCCCGCUACUAGUGUCUAUGUAAUUUCUGUAAAAAAUUGAAAACUUGAUAUAAUAUUUUAACAUUUUACCAAAAAAAAAAAAAAAAAAUGUUAACAGAAGAUGCUUUUUUCCGAACAACUUAAUUUUAUUUUUCAGAAUAUAUGUUAUAAAUUAAAUGAAAUAUAUAACACGACGUACCAAAUCACUUAUUUUUGUAGUUUUGGAAAUGUGUCCAUG